AUUGAACGCUGGCGGCAGGCUUAACACAUGCAAGUCGAGCGAGCGGCGGACGGGUGAGUAAUGUCUGGGAAACUGCCUGAUGGAGGGGGAGAACUACUGGAAACGGUAGCUAAUACCGCAUACCAUCAGAUGUGCCCAGAUGGCAUUAGCUAGUAGGUGGGGUAAUGGCUCACCUAGGCGAUUAUCUCUAGCUGGUCUGAGAGGAUGACCAGCCACACCGGAACUGAGACACAGUCCAGACUCAUACGUGAGGCGGAAUUGGGAAGUUUGGCACAAUGGGCGCAAGCUCAAUGCGACCCUGCCGCGUGUGAGAAGAAGGCCUUCGAGUUAUAGAGCACUUUCAGCGAAGAGGCGUUAUUCGUGGAAGAAGGAACGGCUCACUCCGUGGCAGCAGCCGCGGUAAUAC
rnacentral:rRNA from 1 species